rnacentral:rRNA from 1 species
GGAGGAAAAGAAACCAACCGGGAUUGCCUUAGUAACGGCGAGUGAAGCGGCAAAAGCUCAAAUUUGAAAUCUGGUACCUUUGGUGCCCGAGUUGUAAUUUGGAGAGGGCAACUUUGGGACCGUUCCUUGUCUAUGUUCCUUGGAACAGGACGUCAUAGAGGGUGAGAAUCCCGUGUGGCGAGGAGUGCGGUUCUAUGUAAAGUGCCUUCGAAGAGUCGAGUUGUUUGGGAAUGCAGCUCUAAGUGGGUGGUAAAUUCCAUCUAAAGCUAAAUAUUGGCGAGAGACCGAUAGCGAACAAGUACAGUGAUGGAAAGAUGAAAAGAACUUUGAAAAGAGAGUGAAAAAGUACGUGAAAUUGUUGAAAGGGAAGGGCAUUUGAUCAGACAUGGUGUUUUGCGCCCUCUGCUCCUUGUGGGUGGGGGAAUCUCGCAGUUCACUGGGCCAGCAUCAGUUUUGGUGGCAGGAUAAAUCCGUAGGAAUGUAACUUGCUUCGGGAAGUAUUAUAGCCUAUGGGAAUACUGCCAACUGGGACUGAGGACUGCGACGUAAGUCAAGGAUGCUGGCAUAAUGGUUAUAUGCCGCCCGUCU